rnacentral:rRNA from 1 species
AGAGCGAACGCUGGCGGCAGGCCUAAAACAUGCAAGUCGAACGGACCCUUCGGGGUUAGUGGCGGACGGGUGAGUAACACGUGGGAACGUGCCUUUUGGUUCAGAACAACUCAGGGAAACUUGAGCUAAUACUGAAUAAGCCCUGCGGGGGAAAGAUUUAUCGCCAUUAGAGCGGCCCGCGUUGGAUUAGCUAGUUGGUGAGGUAAAGGCUCACCAAGGCUACGAUCCAUAGCUGGUCUGAGAGGAUGAUCAGCCACACUGGGACUGAGACACGGCCCAGACUCCUACGGGAGGCAGCAGUUAGGAAUCUUGCGCAAUGGGCGAAAGCCUGACGCAGCCAUGCCGCGUGAAUGAUGAAGGUCUUAGGAUUGUAAAAUUCUUUCAGCGGGAAGAUAAUGACUGUACCCGCAGAAGAAGCUCGGCUAACUUCGUGCCAGCAGCCGC